rnacentral:lncRNA from 1 species
CAAUUAAUGGUGAGCAAGGGUUCUUUUUCACAAAUUCGUCUGGGUUUAGAACAGCUAGAUUUUACCACAUUUUUGGUUGCUUUUGUCUGAUGACGAUUAUAUAUGCAUGUUAUACUAAGGACAAUGGAUAUGAAAAGAGACUAUGAUUAUCAGCUGUUUUCCUUCUGCUUCUCUCAUGCUCCUCGCCUUGCUUCUCCUUUUUCCUCUCCUCUUUCUCUCUUC